CGGGGCGCAGCAGGCGCGAAAACUUUACAAUGCGGGAAACCGUGAUAAGGGGACACCGAGUGCCAGCAUCAUAUGCUGGCUGUCCAGGUGUGUAAAAUACACCUGUUAGCAAGGGCCGGGCAAGACCGGUGCCAGCCGCCGCGGUAACACCGGCGGCCCGAGUGGUGAUCGUGAUUAUUGGGUCUAAAGGGUCCGUAGCCGGUUUGGUCAGUCCUCCGGGAAAUCUGAUAGCUCAACUAUUAGGCUUUCGGGGGAUACUGCCAGACUUGGAACCGGGAGAGGUAAGAGGUACUACAGGGGUAGGAGUGAAAUCUUGUAAUCCCUGUGGGACCACCUGUGGCGAAGGCGUCUUACCAGAACGGGUUCGACGGUGAGGGACGAAAGCUGGGGGCACGAACCGGAUUAGAUACCCGGGUAGUCCCAGCCGUAAACAAUGCUCGCUAGGUGUCAGACAUGGCGCGACCGUGUCUGGUGCCGCAGGGAAGCCGUGAAGCGAGCCACCUGGGAAGUACGGCCGCAAGGCUGAAACUUAAAGGAAUUGGCGGGGGAGCAC
rnacentral:rRNA from 1 species